rnacentral:piRNA from 1 species
UACCCAGCCUUAGAAGAAGGCAGUGCA